GGUAUAGUCUGAAGAGAUGUUUUUAGUCUGCGCUGUAGAGUUUCUGCUGACCUGAUGAGGGAUCUACAAGCCGAUUGGCAGAUGCAGAGCGGAGUAAACGGCGUUCAUGAGGCACAUGUUUGAACCUGCUACACAACACAAGACGUAACGUGGCGCGCACAACCAGGACAUGAGGAUUAAAGCGACGGAACGAUCUGGAGUCAUGAUCCAACAUUUUCGAUUAAUAACAAUUUUACAAUAUAGGACUAGAAGGUGAUUAUCCCAUGUUUAUCUGUUUGUAUGGGAGCACACACACGCACACAAGCAGAAGUAAAUAAGGUUUACCUUUAAAACAAAAUAAAGUGUAGAUUUAAUCCUU